rnacentral:ncRNA from 1 species
AGCCGUCCACCGGGGAGCUCGGGUCAGCCGGGCUGAGAGGGCGACCAUCGCGUCGCCGACCCGUGGAACCUGCUCUGGGUAAUGCCAGCGGAGGGAGAACCGGCGCUUCGCCG